AUACGUAGGGAGCGAGCGUUGUCCGGAAUUACCGGGUGUAAAGGGAGCGUAGGCGGGAGUGCAAGUCAGAUGUGAAAUACAUGGGCUCAACCCAUGGGCUGCAUUUGAAACUGCAUUUCUUGAGUGAAGUAGAGGUAAGCGGAAUUCCUGGUGUAGCGGUGAAAUGCGUAGAUAUCAGGAGGAACACCGGUGGCGAAGGCGGCUUACUGGGCUUUUACUGACGCUGAGGCUCGAAAGCGUGGGGAGCAAACAGGAUUAGAUACCCUGGUAGUCCACGCUGUAAACGAUGAUUACUAGGUGUGGGGGGACUGACCCCUUCCGUGCCGCAGUUAACACAAUAAGUAAUCCACCUGGGGAGUACGGCCGCAAGGUUGAAACUUAAAGGAAUUGACGGGG
rnacentral:rRNA from 1 species